AACCAUUCUCACCUGCGGCUAGACCUGCGGAGGGAUCAUUACCGAGUUAUGCCCUUCGGGGUAGACCUCCAACCCUAUGUUUACCUAACUUUGUUGCUUUGGCGAGCCGUAAAGUUUAGGCUUUCCAUCGGUUUCGACUGAUGCGUUUGCUCGCCAGAGGAAUUUAAAACUCUGAAUUUUUAAUGUUGUCUGAGUCCCUAGCAAAAUAAAAUUAAAACUUUUAACAACGGAUCUCAGAUC
rnacentral:misc_RNA from 1 species